UUUAUUUACGCUAUUUUUGAUAGUUUUCGUGUUAUUCUUAGUCCUUUUUACUGCUUCUAAGUCAGCUGAUGUCGUUGACAUUUGUCCAUUGGGAGCUUGCUAUGGCUAGCUUUUGCCCUAGCUUGGCAUCGGACAUCCUUCUAUCUAUCCGUGAGCGGUACAGCACUUCACUGUCUGGUCGAGUGGAUCUCUUGGGACAGCUGAAACUAGGCUACUCUGCGAAAGAUCUGCCGUGGCCGCCGAGCUGUUGCUGACCUGCGAGCUGCCUUGCCAACUGCAGACUAACGUUAACGAGAUUUGUAUUUGCGAUGAGCUGGAAAUCCAACCCAAAAGGAAAAGCCUGGGUGGGGAUGACGGACAUCGAGACAGAAGGCGAGUGGAGAUGGGUGACCAACAGCCUGGUCAGAUACAACGUUCAGUACUGGGUUCAGCGGGCUGACGGCACCAGUGAGCCGGAUGAUUGGCGCGUGUCCAAUGAGCAGGGAGAGGACUGUGGCCACAUUGACACGGCCGAGACGGAGCUCAACAGCUGGAUGGACGCACCCUGCCACACCCACUACAGAUGGAUAUGUGAGAAGGCCCUGUAGGUUGCUAUGGCAACAGAGGAACCAGAACACUGCAACACUUUGACACACAGUGCCCUCUGCUGGUUGUCAGUACAACAGCAGAACAGAAGAGUUUUUUGGCACUCUUAAAACUAGACUUUCUCUAUGAUGCUUAUUGAAGUCCAUUGCUAUUUCUGACAACAGUGUGUUUUGAACUAUAAUAGGUAGACUAUACAGCCUUUCUUACAUUAAUGAUUACAAAAUCAACUGACCU